rnacentral:rRNA from 1 species
CCUACGGGAGGCAUCAGUGAGGAAUAUUGGUCAAUGGUCGGGAGACUGAACCAGCCAAGCCGCGUGAGGGAGGAAGGUACAGAGUAUCGUAAACCUCUUUUGUCAGGGAACAAAGACUGGGACGCGUCCCCGGAUGAGUGUACCUGAAGAAAAAGCAUCGGCUAACUCCGUGCCAGCAGCCGCGGUAAUACGGAGGAUGCGAGCGUUAUCCGGUUUUAUUGGGGUAAAAGGGUGCGCAGGCGGGCUGUUAAGUCAGCGGUCAAAGCCCGGGGCUCCCCCCCGGCCCGCCGUUGAAACUGGCAGUCUCGAGUUGGCGAGAAGUAUGCGGCAUGCGCGGUGUAGCGGUGAACUGCAUAGCUCUCGCGCAGAACUCCGAUUGCGACGGCAGCAUGCCGGCUCCACCCUGACGCUGAGGCACGAACGCGUGGGUAUCGAACAGGAUUAGAUACCCUAGUAGUC